rnacentral:rRNA from 1 species
GGGGAAAGAUUUAUCGCUAUUAGAUGAGCCUACGUUAGAUUAGCUAGUUGGUAAGGUAAUGGCUUACCAAGGCUAUGAUCUAUAGCUGGUCUGAGAGGACGAUCAGCCACACUGGAACUGAGAUACGGUCCAGACUCCUACGGGAGGCAGCAGUGGGGAAUAUUGGACAAUGGGCGAAAGCCUGAUCCAGCUAUGCCGCGUGAGUGAAGAAGGCCUUCGGGUUGUAAAGCUCUUUCAAUAGGGGAGAUAAUGACGGUACCUAUAGAAGAAGUCCCGGCAAACUCCGUGCCAGCAGCCGCGGUAAUACGGAGGGGGCAAGCGUUGUUCGGAAUUAUUGGGCGUAAAGGGCACGUAGGUGGACUAGUAAGUUAAAAGUGAAAUACCAAAGCUUAACUUUGGAGCUGCUUUUAAUACUGCUAGACUAGAGGUCGAAAGAGGAUAGCGGAAUUCCUAGUGUAGAGGUGAAAUUCGUAGAUAUUAGGAGGAACACCAGUGGCGAAGGCGGCUAUCUGGUUCGAUACUGACACUGAGGUGCGAAAGCGUGGGGAGCAAACAGGAUUAGAUACCCUGGUAGUCCACGCUGUAAACGAUGAGUGCUAAAUGUGAGGAUUUUAUCUUUGUAUUGUAGCUAACGCGUUAAGCACUCCGCCUGGGGACUACGGUCGCAAGACUAAAACUCAAAGGAAUUGACGGGGACCCGCACAAGCGGUGGAGCAUGUGGUUUAAUUCGAUGCUACGCGAAAAACCUUACCACUUUUUGACAUGAAGGUCGUAUCCCUCCUAACAGGGGGAGUCAGUUCGGCUGGACCUUACACAGGUGCUGCAUGGUUGUCGUCAGCUCGUGUCGUGAGAUGUUGGGUUAAGUCCCGCAACGAGCGCAACCCUCAUCCUUAGUUACCAACAGGUAAUGCUGGGCACUCUAAGGAAACUGCCAGUGAUAAACUGGAGGAAGGUGGGGAUGAUGUCAAAUCAGCACGGCCCUUAUAAGGUGGGCUACACACGUGCUACAAUGGCAACUACAAUAGGUUGCGAGACCGCAAGGUUUAGCUAAUCCAUAAAAGUUGUCUCAGUUCGGAUUGUUCUCUGCAACUCGAGAGCAUGAAGUCGGAAUCGCUAGUAAUCGUGGAUCAUCACGCCACGGUGAAUACGUUCUCGGGUCUUGUACACACUGCCCGUCACGCCAUGGGAAUUGGCUUAACUCGAAGCUGGUGUGCUAACCGCAAGGAAGCAGCCAUUUAAGGUUGGGUCAGUGACUAGGGUGAAGUCGUAACAAG